rnacentral:tRNA from 1 species
UAGGAGUGCCAGAAGUAUUAUGGAAUUGGUUUAGGACUAAUUGAUGGUGGUAACCCUCUUAGUG